GAUGAACGCUGGCGGCGUGCCUAAUACAUGCAAGUCGAGCGAACAGACGAGGAGCUUGCUCCUCUGACGUUAGCGGCGGAAGGGUGAGUAACACGUGGAUAACCUACCUAUAAGACUGGGAUAACUUCGGGAAACCGGAGCUAAUACCGGAUAAUAUAUUGAACCGCAUGGUUCAAUAGUGAAAGACGGUUUUGCUGUCACUUAUAGAUGGAUCCGCGCCGCAUUAGCUAGUUGGUAAGGUAACGGCUUACCAAGGCAACGAUGCGUAGCCGACCUGAGAGGGUGAUCGGCCACACUGGAACUGAGACACGGUCCAGACUCCUACGGGAGGCAGCAGUAGGGAAUCUUCCGCAAAGGGCGAAAGCUUGACGGAGCAACGCCGCGUGAGUGAUGAAGGUCUUCGGAUCGUAAAACUCUGUUAUUAGGGAAGAACAAAUGUGUAAGUAACUAUGCACGUCUUGACGGUACCUAAUCAGAAAGCCACGGCUAACUACGUG
rnacentral:rRNA from 1 species